rnacentral:rRNA from 1 species
UCCUACGGGAGGCAGCAGUGAGGAAUAUUGGUCAAUGGACGGAAGUCUGAACCAGCCAUGCCGCGUGGAGGAAGAAGGUCCUAUGGGUUGUAAACUCCUUUUGUCCGAGAGUAAUAAGGUCUUUGCGAAGACCGAUGAGAGUAUCGGGCGAAUAAGCAUCGGCUAACUCCGUGCCAGCAGCCGCGGUAAUACGGAGGAUGCAAGCGUUAUCCGGAUUUAUUGGGUUUAAAGGGUGCGCAGGCGGCGCGUUAAGUCAGCGGUGAAAUCUCCCGGCUCAACCGGGGAACUGCCAUUGAUACUGGCGUGCUAGAGUACGGACGGCGCCGGCGGAAUGUGUCAUGUAGCGGUGAAAUGCUUAGAUAUGCCACAGAACACCGAUCGCGAAGGCAGCUGGCGAGGCCGGUACUGACGCUCAGGCACGAAAGCGUGGGGAUCAAACAGGAUUAGAUACCCUGGUAGUCC